GCUGUACUUAGCCCAUCACAGAUAAAAUACAACCAUAUAAUCUUAACCAAAACAAAACAUUUACCUUAAACAUAAAAGUAUAGGAGAUAGAAAUUAUAAUUGGCGCUAUAGAGAUAGUACCGUAAGGGAACAAUGAAAGAAUCAACUAAAGCAAAAAAUAGCAAAGCUUACCCCUUGUACCUUUUGCAUAAUGAAUUAACUAGAACAUACUUAGCAAAGAGAACUUAAGUUAAUAACCCCGAAACCAGACGAGCUAUUUAUGAGCAGCCCCCAAAGAGCACACUCAUCUAUGUAGCAAAAUAGUGAGAAGACUUAUGAAUAGAGGUGACAAGCCUACCGAGCCUGGUGAUAGCUGGUUGUCCAGAAAAGAAUUUUAGUUCUAACUUAAGCCUACCAACCAACAUCAUAAUUUCACUGUAGUCUUAAGGAAUAGUCUGAAAAGGGACAGCUUUUCAGAUAUAGGAUACAACCUUUGCUAGAGAGUAAGUACAAUAAAAAAUCAUAGUUGGCUUAAAAGCAGCCAUCAAUAAAGAAAGCGUUCAAGCUCAACAAUAAAAUCAAUUUAAUUCCAACAAUAAAAACCAACUCCUAGCAUUAAAACUGGACCAUUCUAUAAUCAUAUAGAAGAGAUACUGUUAAUAUGAGUAACAAGAAAUCAAUUCUCCUCGCGCAAGUUUAUAUCAGAACGAAUACCCACUGAUAGUUAACGCAAACAAAGUAGACUUAAAAAACAAGCCCUUUGUCACCCACCCGUUAACCCAACACAGGAGCGCCCCAAGGAAAGAUUACAAGGAGUAAAAGGAACUCGGCAAACACAAACCCCGCCUGUUUACCAAAAACAUCACCUCUAGCAUAGCCAGUAUUAGAGGCACUGCCUGCCCAGUGACAUAAGUUCAACGGCCGCGGUAUCCUGACCGUGCAAAGGUAGCAUAAUCACUUGUUCUCUAAAUAAGGACUUGUAUGAAUGGCCACACGAGGGUUUUACUGUCUCUUACUCCCAAUCAGUGAAAUUGACCUUCCCGUGAAGAGGCGGGAUUAUUAAAAUAAGACGAGAAGACCCUGUGGAGCUUUAAUUAAUUAACCCAAGAGUAAAUGCUUAAUACCAAAAGGAAUAAAACAAUCUCAUAUGGGUUAACAAUUUAGGUUGGGGUGACCUCGGAGUAUAAACAACCCUCCGAGCAUUUUAAGCCAAGACUUACCAGUCAAAGCCACAUUACUUAUUGAUCCAAACUCUUUGAUCAACGGAACAAGUUACCCCAGGGAUAACAGCGCAAUCCUAUUUAAGAGUCCCUAUCGACAAUAGGGUUUACGACCUCGAUGUUGGAUCAGGACAUCCUAAUGGUGCAGCAGCUAUCAAGGGUUCGUUUGUUCAACGAUUAAAGUCCUACGUGAUCUGAGUUCAGACCGGAGUAAUCCAGGUCGGUUUCUAUCUAUUAUUAUGCCUCUCCCAGUACGAAAGGACAAGAGAGACAAGGCCUCCUUAAACUAAGCGCCUUCCAGCUAAACAGAUGUCACCACCUUAAUCUGAUAAGCAAUAAAUAAAUCACCCCAAGACCAGGGGUUU
rnacentral:rRNA from 1 species